ensembl:lncRNA
UCCUGGAGUGUGUCCAGAGGAGGGCAACAAAGCUGGUGAGGGGUCUGGAGCACAGGCCUUAUGAGGAGCGGCUGAAGGAGCUGGGAUUGUUCAGUCUGGAGAAGAGGAGGCUCAGGGGAGACCUUAUUGCUCUCUAUAACUACCUGAAGGGAGGUUGUAGUGAGCUGGGGGUCAGCCUCUUCUCUCGUGUGACUAGUGAUAGGACUAGAGGGAAUGGCUUCAAGCUGCACCAGGGAAGAUUCAGGCUGAACGUUAGGAAAUACUACUUCUCUGAAAGGGUGGUCAGGCACUGGAAUGGGCUGCCCAGAGAGGUGGUGGAGUCACCGAGCCUGGUGGUGUUCAAAGAGCGUUUGGAUGUUGUGUUGAGGGACAUGGUUUAGCAAGAACCAUUGGUGAUGGCUGAAUGGUUGGACUGGAUGAUCCUGUGGGUCUUUUCCAACCUUAGCGAUUCUAUGAUUCUAUGAUUCUGUGAGCACUGACUCUGUUUCUUUUCUCUAUUGCAGUUCUUUGGUGAGUGACAUGGUUUGGCUAGAUUUUUAUCUAACUCAGAGCUGAGAUAUUUUAUAUAAAAAGUCUUAAUUGUUCUAUUUCUCAUCACUUAGGAAUAGUUACCAGGUAACAACAAAUGAAGCUCUCCUCAACCCACAGAAUUUAUCC